AUGAACGAAUACUUGAUUUGCCUAAUCGCUUGGCGCGUGCUGGCCAGCGACUUGCUGGACUAUGUCCGCUUUCGCGUGGUCUUCCCCCAUUGGCAGUCUAGCACGGUCUGCCCACACAACCGCGGCGUCAUCGAUCCACGCUUCCACCCGUGAUGCUGGAUGAUGCUACCGGAGGGCCACAGCCUGUACCCGUCCCACGCCAGCCUCCAGGGCUACAUCCGCUUCUUCAACCUCGACACAGGGAAAUUCGUCCGCGUCAAGCUCCCGGUUUUCAACGACCACUGUGUCCUCAACUCGGCCGAAGGUCUGCUAGUCAUGCACCGGGAUGAAAACACAGCCAUCCGACUGUUCCACCCAUUCACUGGCGAUGUCGUCGACCUCCCACCACUCAUGACCCUUGUGCCGCACAUUAACCCUGACCUACCUGGGGCUUUUCACCCGACGCAGAAGUUCCACUACCUCAGGGGAGUGUGCGCUGCCUUCAGUGUCAGCGCUACCGGAGUCAUUACCACCAUGCUCGCGCUUCAUCGGAUGAGCUGUGUAGCCUUCGCUACCCCCCGUGAUCAGCGAUGGUGUAAGUGCAUCUAG
rnacentral:rRNA from 1 species